GUAUGCUGGGAAUUGCAGCCCUCUCCCAGCUGGGUCCCAUACGUGUGGGCUUUUGCCUCAGAUUUCCUGAUCUGUAUCUCAAAUCCUUGAUGAGCUUAAAACCUUCUGUAUUAGUCAGGACUUAGUUGCAGGUGUCAGAAACUCAAAUAGAUUUAAGCACACAAGGAACUGGGUCGGUUUUCUUUGCUGAAAAGUCCAGGGGUUGUGCUGAAUUAAAGAAGGACUGAAACUAGAUGCCCUAAUGAUCAGUUCAGGAUUUUCCUUCUUUUUCUCUUUCUACUCUAUGCUCCUUUUUAUUUGUUGCAUUCUCAGGCAGGUGCUUCCCCUAGUGAGGAAAGAUGGUCACCAGCAGCUCCUGAACUCCAUUCCCAAGUCAUGAUGAAGGUAGUGGUGGCAGCCGUCUUUGAACCACUUGGACUGGGAGAGUUGAAGGUGGAGGAGAGGAGCCACCAGUGUCUGCCCCAGCUCUUCUGGGUUGCCACAGAGUGUACAAUCCAGAAGGUCAAGGAAUAGCCAGUACAUCAGUCAGGAAGUAGACACCUCAAAUUAUGAUGUGUUGAGAAGUUAAUGAGGGCACUCUUCAUGGCGGGAUGUUGGUGUGUCCUCAGGUGACCCCUGCUGCAGCCGUCUUGUGACCAUAAGGAGAGAAACGAGCUACGUCCUGAGGUUGCAAAGCACAAGAUCGGCCAGCAUUUGAGCCUUUAAUGACAUCUUCCUGCCCCUGGAUUAACUAAAUGUAGAAUUUCCCCUCAUUUCUGGACCUCUAGCUAUGUAGGUUAAUAAACUUCUAUUGUUUAAUGUACUUAAAA
ensembl:lncRNA